rnacentral:rRNA from 1 species
GGUGGAGCGAUUUGUCUGGUUAAUUCCGAUAACGAACGAGACUCUGGCCUAUUAAAUAGACGAUAUAUUUAAAAGUAUAUCGCGCUUCUUAGAGGGACAAGCGGCGUCUAGCCGCAUGAAAUAGAGCAAUAACAGGUCUGUGAUGCCCUUAGAUGUCCGGGGCUGCACGCGCGCUACACUGAAAGAAUCAGUGUGCGUUACGCCUAGUUCGGAAGAACCGGGUAACCCAAGUAAAUUCUUUCGUGCUUGGGAUAGGGAAUUGCAAUUAUUUCCCUUAAACGAGGAAUUCCCAGUAAAUGCGGGUCAUAAGCUCGCGUUGAAUACGUCCCUGCCCUUUGUAC